rnacentral:rRNA from 1 species
UACGUAGGGCGCAAGCGUUGUCCGGAAUCAUUGGGCGUAAAGAGCUCGUAGGCGGCCUGUCGCGUCUGCUGUGAAAUCCCGGGGCUUAACCCCGGGCGUGCAGUGGAUACGGGCUGGCUGGAGGCAGGCAGGGGAGAACGGAAUUCCCGGUGUAGCAGUGAAAUGCGUAGAGAUCGGGAGGAACACCAGUGGCGAAGGCGGCCUUCUGGACCAAUACUGACGCUCAUGCACGAAAGCGUGGGGAGCAAACAGG